rnacentral:tRNA from 1 species
UAAGUUAAAGCUAAAAUAGAGGCGUCUAACUGUUAAUUAGAAAAUUGUAAUAACAAAACUAACUUAG